AUUCCUCAGUAACGGCGAGUGAAGCGGUAACAGCUCAAAUUUGAAAUCUGGCCUCACGGUCCGAGUUGUAAUUUGUAGAGGAUGCUUCGAGCAUGGUCUGGCCUAAGUUCCUUGGAACAGGACGUCAUAGAGGGUGAGAAUCCCGUAUGCGACCAGGUGCCUACGCUCAUGUGAAGCUCCUUCGACGAGUCGAGUUGUUUGGGAAUGCAGCUCAAAAUGGGUGGUAAAUUUCAUCUAAAGCUAAAUAUUGGCCAGAGACCGAUAGCGCACAAGUAGAGUGAUCGAAAGAUGAAAAGCACUUUGGAAAGAGAGUUAAACAGUACGUGAAAUUGUUGAAAGGGAAGCGCUUGCAACCAGACUUGCGCGCGGCCGAUCAUCCGGUGUUCUCACCGGUGCACUCGGCCGUGCUCAGGCCAGCAUCGGUUUUGGCGGCUGGAUAAAGGCCCUAGGAAUGUGGCUCCUCUCGGGGAGUGUUAUAGCCUAGGGUGCAAUGCAGCCUGCUGGGACCGAGGACCGCGCUUCGGCUAGGAUGCUGGCGUAAUGGUUGUAAGCGGCCCGUCUUGAAACACGGACCAAGGAGUCUAACAUCUAUGCGAGUGUUUGGGUGUCAAACCCAUACGCGUAAUGAAAGUGAACGGAGGUGAGAACCCUUAAGGGUGCAUCAUCGACCGGUCCUGAAGUUUACGGAAGGAUCUGAGUAAGAGCAUAGCUGUUGGGACCCGAAAGAUGGUGAACUAUGCCUGAAUAGGGUGAAGCCAGAGGAAACUCUGGUGGAGGCUCGCAGCGGUUCUGACGUGCAAAUCGAUCGUCAAAUUUGGGUAUAGGGGCGAAAGACUAAUCGAACCAUCUAGUAGCUGGUUCCUGCCGAAGUUUCCCUCAGAAUAGCAGUGUUGAAUUCAGUUUUUAUGAG
rnacentral:rRNA from 1 species